AGUGAACUAAUACUACGCAUGGAAAGGGUUUAAAAAGAGGGAAUUGUGUUUUUGACUGGUUGCCUGUCUACCGGAGGUCUGUUGUAGGGUUGUCAUGGUGAUGACUAGACCUCGCGUUUUGGGGGUAUACUGUCCCUUUAAGAGCCGCCGUAAGCCAGAGCACGCAUGCACUCAAGUUUGUGUCACACUGAGCGCUGUGAGCGGGAGCACUGGAGAGUUAGAGACUGCAAAAGAUUCUGUGGCUAGCUACACACGAGGUAAAUGUGCUAAAAAGUGUAGCAUACUGCAAAAUAUUGUCACCAGUGUUGUAGUAGACUGUAAUUAGCUAAGUUUCUUUAGCAAUGACUCCAUGUUUGUGACCAUUUCUGUACAGUUCUUAACGCGCGACGGGUGCAUGUUUAAUGGUCACGUGCUGUGAAAGGGACUGAAGAGCGGGUUGGCAGGGGAGAUCACUUGCUGUGUGAUUCCUGCGUGUGUACUUGUCCUAGCACAGUAGCUGUGUGGAGAAACCGAAGUGAGUUCAUGAUGUUCUCCCAUAGAAAUGUAUGUUUAAAAGAGAGUUUACAGUGCACUUUAUUGCCAGUUGACCUGCGAAGUUGUGGGAUGUAAACAAUGUGUUUAUUUGUUUUGUUUUCUCUUUUUUUGUUGUAUUUGUUUCUUGACAGGUCACUACUGUUGUCUAUACUGUUUGGAUUUAACAUGUACAUAUGAUAGUUACUGUUGUCUCAGACCCUGAAAGGCAGUUUAGGCUGGGCCAGUGGAAUAGUUAAAUUUUGCCGUUUCACUCAAAACUACAGAAUUAAAACUGUGCUCCUCCGAGUACAGUCGGAGAAUAAAAAAGCCCACAAAAGAGUA